AGUUUAUUUCUAGGCUGAGUACAUGGCUAUACUUGGAUCUCCCUUUGCCUUUAUCUCUGGGAUUUCCUUUGCUCUUUCUUGGAUUGACGUUCUCAUUUCCCAGACUCCAUGUCUUCCUCUUUCUUGCUUUGCCUCAUAAUUUUGGACUUACCUAGUAGCUUCUUCUUCUUUUUUUUUUUUUUCCUUUUUCACAUCAGAUGGGAAAUGUGCCAACGUCACAACAAGGUUUGAGGGAGGCACAUCUCAUGCUCGGACAUGAACACCCGAUCAUCAUGCUUAUGAACUACAAAAGGAUCUCCAGUAUGGGCUCACGGCAGUUGGCCCUUGAAUAACAUGAAUUUGAACUGCCUGAGUCUGCUAAUAUGUGGAUUAUCUUCUGCUUCUGCACCCUGAGACAGCAAGACCAACCCUUCCUCUUGCUUCUUUUCCUUAGCCUAUUCAACGUGAAGAUGACUAAGUUCACAGAGUUUGAGAGAAACUGUAUUCAAGUUGCUGAAACCAAGAAGCUACACUCACGAGUCUCACCUAAACUCGAAUCUGAUUUAGAUGACAUCAUCCUGGACUUUGAGUUGAUGAAACCUUGGAGGUCUUGGGAGUAAAGCAAGUGUGAUUUGCAUAUGAUGGAUAUGAAUUGUAAUGGCCAGAGCAUGGCUGUGGUAGGUAACAUCUAGAGAUGGCCACCAUUAUUUUUUUUUUCCUCUAUCCGCACAUACUACUUCUCCUGUACUCUUGAAACUGGGAUGAAAUUAGCAACUUUGUUAACCAAUAUAAUGUGCCACAGAAGUGACUUUUGCGACUUGUGAGGUUAGAUCUUAAGAAGUCUUGUAUCUUCUUUCUGGAUCACUUGGAAUGCUUACUACGGGAACCAAGCCACUGUUCUAUGAGAAGUGCAAGUCACAUGGAGAAACCAUGUUUUGGCAAGCUAGUCUGCAUCUUCAGGUGAGCUGCCAGCCAAUAACCAGCCUUAAUUUCCAGUUAAGUGAAUGGCUGGAUGUCUAACUCAGUUAAGACUUCUGAUUAUUGCAGCCUCAGGUUACCCCUGACUGCAACUGCACAAGUGGUCCAGAUGAGAUCAAUCUCACAACUAUGGGAGACAAUAAUGCUAUUUUGUGUUAAUCACUAAGUAUUAGUUUGUUACACAAAACAGAUAUUAAGAUUAAGAUAUUUAUGUCUCCAGAUAAUAGACCCAGGAGCUUCCUUAUGUCUAUUCCCCUUUAAAGUCCUUUUUUUUUUUUAAACUCACAGCUGGAAUAAUUAUGCCAGAGCAAGGCAACUUGGGUAGCAGCAUUUGGCUUCUGAUGAUUCUUUCCUUAGUGGAUGCAGGAUGCUGUCAUCUUAGGAACUUGAAAAAGAAAGCAUACUGUUUCUUGAACUUUAAUUAGUCAUGCUAAUUGUAAUAAAAUUUUUGCUGGAAUAAAAAAAGGGCAGCGUGUCUGAAGUAAGCAAAAAAAAAAAAAAAAAAAAACCCAUGUAUGCACAGUAGUUGUAGUGAUCUGCCCCAGUUAGUUGUAACCAUUAAAUAACUGCUAGGAAAAAUACAUGGCCUUGGAAAGUGUUUCCUUGGCAGUAGUGGAAGGGCAGGAACAGAUUUGUAUAAACACAUUUUUGUUACAAGCUAGAGGCAACUUUAGAGUUUGAUGGAUAAGAAUGACAUUAGAUAAAGCAUAUUGUAUUGUACUGGGAAUAGCUCAUUAACAAGCAGUUAACUUUGUGCGUGUUUACACUCAUAUUUGUCAUGUUCACUGCUGUAUCCUCAGCAGCUAAAACAGUAACUGGCACUUUAGAGAGACACAAUAAUUAUACGACGAAUUAAUAAAUUCCAUUUGUUUUGUUUAACGAAGUCUUUUGAUUUAAUAUUCAGCUGUACUUAGAUCUAUGGGUCUGAAAUAACUCAAAUUUU
rnacentral:lncRNA from 1 species